AUUUUUCGCACGCUUGUCCCUUUUGUAUUAGAUUCACCACCCCAAACUUAGAAUUCAACACAGUUUCAAAAUCCACAACAUUUAUGCCGAGCAAGGGUAAAAGAGAUUAUUAUAUUUUUUUCUUUUUCUGGCCAUAGGGUAACAUAAGCGGUUUAAAAACAAACAAAAUGGUUAAAGGCUCAACAGGGGUUUGCAACGGAUAAAACGUAACAAGGGUGGCUGGAAAGGCUCAAGGUUAACAACAAAA
rnacentral:lncRNA from 1 species